UUGAUCUUUAAGUUGAUUUUAGUUCAUAAAUUUCCUCUAUAUCCUCCAACACCCUUAUUUUUUUCUCUUGCAUUUUAUUGAUUAAUCUUCCUUAGUCUAAAUUCACUGAUUACAUUGCUUUGGUGGUUUCACACGUUUCCUCUACCUUCUGAAUUUCCUUUAGCUACAGAUAUUCAAGAUACUAGUAUGAAUUACCUACGUUUAAGUAGUUAAAGCCAUAAAUUUCCAUCUAAGCGCUGUUUUCCUUCAUGCCACAAAUUACCUAAUUCAUAUUUUUGUGAUUUGUUUUAUCCAUGGGUUAUUUAGAAAUAAUCAUUAUAUUUCUGAAUUUCCAGACCUCGUAGGAAUUGUUUUUAUUUUAAAAUUGUUUUUAUUGAGAGAUACCUUACAAACCAUAAAAUCCACCCCUUGAAGUAUAUAUGUAAGUGGUUUUGGGUUCAUAAAGUUGUACGAUCAUAACCACUACCAAAUUCCAAAAUAAUUCCAUCAUUCCAGAAAGAGAUUCUAUACUUGUAGCAGUCACCACUCAUUUUUCCCUUCCUUGGUUCCUGGAAAAUAUUAAUCUCCUUUCUGUUUCUAUGGGUUUGCUUAUUCUGGACAUUUCAUACAUAAAUAGAAUUAUAUAGUAUGUCUAGCUUCUUUCACUUGGUGUUUUCAAGGUUCAUCUAUGUUGUAGCAUGUGUCAUUACUCCUUUUUUUUCCCCCCAUGUGACUGGAGAUCUAACCUAGAGCCUCACACAUGCUAAGCAAGUGCUACCAUAGAGCUGCAUCUCCAGCUCUUUUUGCUUUUAGAGAUAGGGUCUUGCUAAGUUGCCCAGGAUAGACUCAAACUUGUGAUCUUCCUGCUUAGCUUCCUGAAUAGUUGGGAUUACAUGUGCACACAAUCUCAGUUCUCCCUUCUUAUAGCUCAAUAAUAUUUCACUGUGUAUGUUUGUGUAUAUAUGCACCCUACAUUCUAUGUAUAAUCAUUUGAAGGACUUUGAGUUCUUUUUACUUUUGGG
rnacentral:lncRNA from 1 species